GAUGAACGCUGGCGGCGUGCCUAAUACAUGCAAGUCGAACGCUGGAGAUCUAGCUUGCUAGAUCGAAGGAGUGGCGAACGGGUGAGUAAUACAUAAGCAACCUACCCACGAAGACUGGGAUAAUCUCUGGAAACGGGGACUAAUACCGGAUAGGUAAUCGGAAGGCAUCUUCUGGUUAUUAAAGGUUAAAAACACUGGUGGAUGGGCUUAUGGCGCAUUAGUUAGUUGGUGAGGUAACGGCCCACCAAGACGAUGAUGCGUAGCCGGCCUGAGAGGGUGAACGGCCACAUUGGGACUGAGACACGGCCCAGACUCCUACGGGAGGCAGCAGUAGGGAAUUGUCGGCAAUGGGGGCAACCCUGACCGAGCAACGCCGCGUGAGUGAAGACGGCCUUCGGGGUGUAAAGCUCUGUUGUAAGGGAAGAACGGUAGAUAGAGAAUAUCUAAGUGACGGUACCUUACCAGAAAGCCACGGCUAACUACGUG
rnacentral:rRNA from 1 species